CACGCACACAAACAUGUUGCGAAAUUUUCAAUCAACUGUCUCGGCUAGAAAUUUCUAGCAAACAUGACGGCCUAAACAGACACACGAAGAUAGCUGUUAGUACGGUUUUUUGAAUUGUCAAGCGUGCGGUGAAACUAUGGAGAGAAGAUAGCUCACGGCGCACAGGGAGCAAGAUUGCACCAACAGGGCAGUGACGUGUAUUUACUGUGGCGUGUAGUUCGGCAUAGCUAUAUGAAGGACCAUUUGGAUGUCUGCCCUAAGUUUCCGAUCCAUUGCUUCUUGAACUGUGGACAAAGGUAUAUCAAGAGACAUGAUGGAAGAACACAUGACCAAACGUUGUCUUAUAGCUGAACAUCUAUGUCCUUUCAGGAUUCAUGGGUGUGAAUUUAAGGACACUAAACAAACAAUCGAUGAACACAUUGCUAAGAAUAUCGAGUCUCAUCUUGAAAUGAUGAACCAUUCAAGCCAUGAUUGUAACGAGAAAUCAAAACAGAUAGAAGAGAAGAUGUAUCGUUUAGAACAAGAAAAAAAAUUGCUUUGGAACAUCAACUACAAAAUCAAGCAGAGGUGUUGGUAGCUGCAAGACAAAACAUACAAACGCAACAGACAAAAUUGUCCUACGUAGAAAAAUCCAUCAUCAAACAAAACAGGACAACUGAGAAACUGCUUGCUGAUUUGAAGGUUUUUGAGUCAUCUAGAAGGGGGAUGCUGUCUCGUCUCAGAUUGAAGAAAUGAUGAACACGCUGUGAGAACACGAGAAGGAGGUGAGCAGUCUCCAGGGUGAAGUGGCUCGUUUGAAAUUAUCCCCUGCCACGCCGAAAGGUGUGAGUAACUAGCGUCCGAAAUCCGACGUGUCUGUCACUCGUGAGUCCGAGCGCCAGCUGGACAGGAAUAAGCACCAACUAGCACUGAGCGACAUUUAAUUGUCCGAUCAGGAUAUGCAGAUUCAAAUGUUGGAGGCUACAUCGUAUAAUGGCACUUACUUUUCGAAGAUGGGCCGCUACAGCCAACGCUUCCAAGAGGCUUUUGAUGAAAAAACUAUCAAUUUGCAGCCCUCCUUUCUAUGUGGGACAAUUUGGGUACAAAGUAUGUGCAUUGGCAAAGGAACGCAUUUUUCAAUGUUCUUUGUUGUCAUGAGGGGUGAAUAGGAUGCUUUAUUACCUUGGCCGUUUCUCCAAAAGGUCCACUUUCGACUGAUAGACCAGGACAGUAGGAUCGGGGACGCGUAUGAUGCGUUUCGCCCUCAAGCUUAAAAGACCUACGUCAGACAUGAACAUAGCAUCUGGCUGCCCGACGUUUAUUUUUCACAUUAAACUAAGGCAAGGUGGCUGUAUUCGGAACGAUACAAUGUUUAUCAAAAUGACUGUGGACAACACUGGUCUGCAAGGACAUUUGUGGCAGUAAAUCCUUGCCUUUUGCAACCUCUCUGGUCAAUACCCUUGCCAAACGGUUUUUGUGGUUUAGUUGGUCAAAUUCCCUUAGUCGUGUGC